CCUACGGGAGGCAGCAGUGAGGAAUAUUGGUCAAUGGCCGGAAGGCUGAACCAGCCAUGCCGCGUGAAGGUCAGUGCCCUAUGGGUUGUAAACUUCUUUUAUAAAGGAAUAAAACGAGGCACGUGUGCCUUUUUGCAUGUACUUUAUGAAUAAGGAUCGGCUAACUCCGUGCCAGCAGCCGCGGUAAUACGGAGGAUCCGAGCGUUAUCCGGAUUUAUUGGGUUUAAAGGGAGCGUAGAUGGGUUGUUAAGUCAGUUGUGAAGGUUUGCGGCUCAACCGUAAAAUUGCAAUUGAUACUGGCAGUCUUGAGUACAGUUGAGGUAGGCGGAAUUCGUGGUGUAGCGGUGAAAUGCUUAGAUAUCACGAAGAACCCCGAUUGCGAAGGCAGCUUACUAAACUGUGACUGACAUUGAUGCUCGAAAGUGUGGGUAUCAAACAGGAUUAGAUACCCUUGUAGUC
rnacentral:rRNA from 1 species